GCUCCUGUAGCUUAACGGGAUAAAGCAAGUCCGUCCUAAGGACAAGAUGCAGGUUCAACUCCUGCCAGGAGCA
rnacentral:tRNA from 1 species